GACGAACGCUGGCGGCGUGCUUAACACAUGCAAGUCGAGCGGUAAGGCCCUUUCGGGGGUACGACGAGCGGCGAACGGGUGAGUAACACGUGGGUGACCUGCCCUCAGCUCUGGGAUAAGCCUGGGAAACCGGGUCUAAUACCGGAUAUGACUCCAUGACGCAUGUUGUGGGGUGGAAAGCCUUGUGCGGCUGAGGAUGGGCCCGCGGCCUAUCAGCUUGUUGGUGGGGUGAUGGCCUACCAAGGCGACGACGGGUAGCCGGCCUGAGAGGGCGACCGGCCACACUGGGACUGAGACACGGCCCAGACUCCUACGGGAGGCAGCAGUGGGGAAUCUUGCGCAAUGGGCGAAAGCCUGACGCAGCGACGCCGCGUGAGGGAUGACGGCCUU
rnacentral:rRNA from 1 species